rnacentral:tRNA from 1 species
GCUGGGGUGGCUUAAAGCCUGGUAUAAUAAUAUGUCUAUAGUCAAAAUGCCGAUAGCGCGGGACUCAUAAUCCCGAAGUCGGGGGUUCGAAGCCCCCCCCCAGCA